rnacentral:rRNA from 1 species
AAGUUAGGAACGGGUAUUUACAAGGGUAGCUUGCUAUUUUGGAUGAGAGUGGCGCACGGGUGAGUAAUACGUGGGAACAUACCUAUUGGUUCGGAACAACUGAUGGAAACGUCAGCUAAUACCGGAUAAGCCCUGAGGGGGAAAGAUUUAUUGCCGAUAGAAUGGCCCGCGGCAGAUUAGGCAGUUGGUGGGGUAAAGGCCUACCAAACCUACGAUCUGUAGCUGGUCUGAGAGGACGAUCAGCCACAUUGGGACUGAGACACGGCCCAGACUCCUACGGGAGGCAGCAGUGAGGAAUAUUGGGCAAUGGGGGAAACCCUGAACCCCCAGCCAUGCCGCGUGAGUGAAGAAGGUUUUCGGAUUGUAAAGCUCUUUCGGGAGAGAAGAUGAUGACGGUAUCUCCAGAAGAAGCCCCGGCAAACUUCGUGCCAGCCGCGGC